GAAAAAGUAACUCAGUUGGUAGAGUGUUGGUUUGUCAUACCAAUGGUCGCGGGUUCAAAUCCCGUCUUUUUCG
rnacentral:tRNA from 1 species